UACGUAGGGGGCAAGCGUUGUCCGGAAUCAUUGGGCGUAAAGCGCGUGUAGGCGGCCCGGUAAGUCCGCUGUGAAAGUCCAGGCUCAACCCUGGGAUGCCGGUGGAUACUGUCGGGCUCGAGUCCGGAAGAGGAGUGUGGAAUUCCUGGUGUAGCGGUGAAAUGCGCAGAUAUCAGGAGGAACACCAAUGGCGAAGGCAGCACUCUGGGACGUGACUGACGCUGAGACGCGAAAGCGUGGGGAGCAAACAGG
rnacentral:rRNA from 1 species